rnacentral:lncRNA from 1 species
CUGGGGUUCAGAGCUUCCACAUAUCUCUUUGGUGGACACGACUCAACCCACAACACCUCCUCAAACCACAUUUUAUAAACCGCUGCUCAGCCAUACAUCUCAGACAAGAAAUAUUUGAAAUUACACUUGUGACGUCAAAUGACAGAAAGAUGGCAGGGGAGUAACAGAAGGCCUACACCCAACCCUAUGUCCACACAGCACUAAGCUCCCCAGAGUCUUGUGGCCCCAAUGGACAUGCUCCACCAAUACCUGCAGCCACCAGGAGUUAGAGGAGUGACUUUAGAGCAGCUGGCGGGGAAUUAGGGAAGGAAUCCACCUGCAGAGGCACUUUUUCCAGGGUCUUUCGGAGAAGCGCUUUUCGUGGAAGCCUACCCAGUCUUCAUCUGGCUGUGAUGCCCCAGACAUUUCUUCUAAGUUUCCGGCCUCUGCGUGGAGCCUCAGCCCCCUGAUCCGAGAGCAUUUCCUUCCUUCCCCUGCUCAGCACUGCAGGCUGGGCUCCCCUGUCAGCUGCAUUCCAGCAGGGUUUGGCCUUGGGAAGGCAAUGGCAGGAAACAGGUGGAAAUAUGAGGGUUAACAUCCGGAGGUCAAAACAUCUCUCAAGAACCUCUUUGCCUUGGCUUCUCAGAGCCACCUUUGGAUUAUACAGUAAUUUCACCCGCCGCGACACCUCACUUUAUUCAUCAUAUCAGUCAUUCACCGAUUGGCUCUUCCUCAGACGGGAUGAGUGGCGACCACUUACCGUAUUCCAAACGAAGCCUGAGGAAAGGUGCCACUUCCAUCCUCACUUCACAGUUGAAGGAACUGAGGCACAGAGAGGCUAAGGGAUCACUCCAGCUACACAACCAAGAUGAAGGGGAGCCAGAAUUUGAACCCAAGUAGUCUGGUUCUAGAGUCCAUGGUCUACAGCACUUUCCUUUUCUCCCUCUGAGUCCCAGAAAUGUCCACAGUCACACUGGACAGAAAAGUGAUCAGACAACAAACUCCAUGCUUUGUUUUGGGUUUGGAAUUUUACUUUAUGUUUUUUCCAAUCAUUAAAAAAAAUGCACAUUCAUCACAAAAAAUUUGGAAAUUCAGGAAAAAAUAAUGAAGAAUAUUAAAUCACCUAGGAGUACUAUU